UACAGAGGGUGCAAGCGUUAAUCGGAAUUACUGGGCGUAAAGCGUGCGUAGACGGUUACAUAAGUCGGGUGUGAAAGCCCCGGGCUCAACCUGGGAAUGGCAUUCGAGACUGUGUAGCUAGGAUGCGGAAGAGGGAAGCGGAAUUUCCGGUGUAGCGGUGAAAUGCGUAGAUAUCGGAAGGAACACCAGUGGCGAAAGCGGCUUCCUGGUCCAGCAUCGACGUUCAGGCACGAAAGCGUGGGGAGCAAACAGG
rnacentral:rRNA from 1 species